GUAAACAGUAUUUAAUAAUUGGUGGAGUCAACAUAAUAUUGAGUAAUAUUUAUAAUCCAACCGAAUACUUCAGUCUAUGAGCGAUAGUAUGAUUAUUUAAAUUUUAUUAUUAACACAUUGCUGUUAUUAGUCAUCCAAAACAUUAUUUAUUUUAUAUUUAAAUCAGUUACCUAAAUAAUGUUUGCAUAUCAAUUGAUCAUUCUGCCGCUGGUCAUGGCGGACUACACAUUUAUCGUACUGUCAGCGCAACUGUAUUGCGCUCUCAUGUCUGUAUAAUAUUUUGUGUGGUGCUGUCAAAUGAUAUAUAUUUCAAUUAAUAUUGAAGGUUAAUUUGUUAUUAGCACUACCCAAAGGCUGUAUUGUGGUAAAGUUAGCCACAAGCCUGUCCAUUGAGCGAUAAAACUUUAUUUCGUUUUUAUAUUUAUCACAUUUCUAUGACUAAAUCAUUAAUAAAUAACUAUAUAACACAUUAAGACUAAUGUCAGCUUUCCUGUAAGUAGCUAGUACCUGCCUUCUAGGUUUUACGGAUCUAAGUAUUAUACUACUACUAAGCAUUCAUAAAUUUACUUGUGUCUAGAUUAGACGGUUUUAAUAUGAAAUAAAGUAUCCCAUCAGGAAUAAUGAUGACAUGAUUACUGUUGUAUUCAUGAGUUUUCUAAGUCCAUGUCGUGCUCCAUUUGUGAUACAUGGGCAUAAGGAGCAUAUAAGUAAACUAUUGCUCCUCAACUUAAUUUCGUUAUUUACAUGAUGCAAUUGAUACAUGAUAAGAUAAUACAUAACAUAAGUUUUUUUUUUUUUUUAUGACGUUGUUUAUGCGAUCAAAUCGGUCCGAGUUAGGAGUCUAUUAUUUCAAUGUCUUGGAGGUUGUAGGUAACUAAACGAGUAUGAACGUCUUCUGUAACGUCGCAUAUCAUGUUAUUUAUAUCGGUUAUUUAGCACACCAGUAACUCGCGAUAAUCGCGGUGUAGAAAGCGCAAAUUAACGCUAAAUAAUAUAAAUUGAGAAGCACGCUGGCUCCAAAUGGAGAAACAAUAUUCACUUACCAAGUACUCGUUGAUUUUUUACUUACACGCAACCACUUUUGUAAGAUUGGGUUUGUCACUUCUGAUUUAUUAAUAGAAUAGUAAUUUAAACACUUGAACACAGGUUCUUCACUUAUUUAUUGAUAUUUUUAUUACAGAUCGUCACUACUAGAGUUUCGUUUUUUAUUCGAAUGCCCUGACAGCUGGCAUAUAUUGAGUUGCCACCUUAUAAAAAUACAUCUUUUAUAAGGUAAAACUAUGAAAUCUUUAACAAUACAGACAUAAAUUACAUAUAGUCUAUCAAGCAAAGUCUGUCAGUAGCAAUGUAAAGCAAACUGAAGUAUGGCAACACUCACAGAGCAGUAUUGCGCUAAGAAAAGCAGCAAUGUACAUCGAACCGAAACAUAUUUUUUUCCGCUGAGCGCGCUCUUCGUACGUCAACUAAAAUUGCCGCUCGCGGUUUAUUGAAGCAUUUGGAAAUUGUUAUUAUUAUGAGAGGGACAAUUUAAACUGGAGUAAAAACGAUGUCAAUCAAUAUUAUAAACGAGAUCAAAAAAUACCUAUUUGCAAACGGACUAUGCUGGAGAAAAUAAUGUUUGAAUCAAAUCAUUGCUUCCGCAGCAAACUUAGAAGACAAAUAGGGAGCAAAGAGAACAUGAGCACCACGGUAGAAAGCUGUUUUUAACAUCAGUUCAGAAACUGAAGAAGCCCAAAGAAAAUAAUUAUGCCACUUGUUAAUUGUAAAUUAGUGUAUUUCUCUUGAACAAUGUCACAUUCACAUACCAGUGUAAUUUUGAAAUGGUUUUACAAUAUACUUAUAUAAAUAUACAGAUUAAAAAUAAAUAAAACACAACUGCAGAUA